rnacentral:rRNA from 1 species
GAUGAACGCUGGCGGCGUGCCUAAUACAUGCAAGUCGAGCGAACAGAUGAGGAGCUUGCUCCUCUGACGUUAGCGGCGGACGGGUGAGUAACACGUGGAUAACCUACCUAUAAGACUGGGAUAACUUCGGGAAACCGGAGCUAAUACCGGAUAAUAUAUUGAACCGCAUGGUUCAAUAGUGAAAGACGGUUUUGCUGUCACUUAUAGAUGGAUCCGCGCCGCAUUAGCUAGUUGGUAAGGUAACGGCUUACCAAGGCAACGAUGCGUAGCCGACCUGAGGGGGUGAACGCCCACGCAGAAGCUGAACCGCGACCCAGGCUCUGAGGGACGGCCGAGAUUGGGACUCUUCCGAAAAGGGGGGAAUCCUGACGGAGCGGCGCAAGGUUGAUGAAGAAGGUCUUCGGGUGGGAAAACGGUGUUAUGGGGGUAAAACAAUUGUGGAAGUAACUAAGCGUGAUUUAAGGGAACGGAAGAAGAAGCCCCGGCUAACUACGUG